rnacentral:snoRNA from 1 species
UUGGUACUAUUCCAUGAGAUUCAGGUUUAGUAAAAAUACAGCCACUGGCCGAUGAACUCACAAGUGUAGGUAGUGUUCUACAUGAGGGGCAAGUUUUUCGCCAACACCACAAGGGUCUCUGGCUCAAUGAGUGGAGUUUGAUAGUAAUACUUGCUACAAAU